CCAAACUUGGUCAUUUAGAGGAAGUAAAAGUCGUAACAAGGUUUCCGUAGGUGAACCUUCGGAAGGAUCAUUACCCACUGUGGCUCCCCGCGGGGAGACCCUGCCACCCUUGAUUUUUGAGCACUGUGGUUGCCUCGGCCGGUCCGCCGGCCAGUGAGGCCUUGCAAACCCCUUGUGGUAGCUGUUUUGGUCAGAAACACGCAAAUUGUCAAAACUUUCAACAACGGAUCUCUUGGCUCUGGCAUCGAUGAAGAACGCAGC
rnacentral:misc_RNA from 1 species